rnacentral:rRNA from 1 species
AUUGAACGCUGGCGGCAGGCUUAACACAUGCAAGUCGAGCGGGGUGAUGGUGCUUGCACUAUCACUUAGCGGCGGACGGGUGAGUAAUGCUUAGGAAUCUGCCUAUUAGUGGGGGACAACAUCUCGAAAGGGAUGCUAAUACCGCAUACGUCCUACGGGAGAAAGCAGGGGAUCACUUGUGACCUUGCGCUAAUAGAUGAGCCUAAGUCGGAUUAGCUAGUUGGUGGGGUAAAGGCCUACCAAGGCGACGAUCUGUAGCGGGUCUGAGAGGAUGAGACGCCACACUGGGACUGAGACACGGCCCAGACUCCUACGGGAGGCAGCAGUGGGGAAUAUUGGACAAUGGGGGGAACCCUGAUCCAGCCAUGCCGCGUGUGUGAAGAAGGCCUUAUGGUUGCAAAGCACUUUAAGCGAGGAGGAGGCUCUUUUGGUUAAUACCCAAGAUGAGUGGACGUUACUCGCAGAAUAAGCACCGGCUAACUCUGUGCCAGCCGCCGCCGUAA